CUUACAGAUGGACCCGCGGCGCAUUAGCUAGUUGGUGAGGUAACGGCUCACCAAGGCAACGAUGCGUAGCCGACCUGAGAGGGUGAUCGGCCACACUGGGACUGAGACACGGCCCAGACUCCUACAGGAGGCAGCAGUAGGGAAUCUUCCGCAAUGGACGAAAGUCUGACGGAGCAACGCCGCGUGAGUGAUGAAGGUUUUCGGAUCGUAAAGCUCUGUUGUUAGGGAAGAACAAGUACCGUUCGAAUAGGGCGGUACCUUGACGGUACCUAACCAGAAAGCCACGGCUAACUACGUGCCAGCAGCCGCGGUAAUACGUAGGUGGCAAGCGUUGUCCGGAAUUAUUGGGCGUAAAGGGCUCGCAGGCGGUUUCUUAAGUCUGAUGUGAAAGCCCCCGGCUCAACCGGGGAGGGUCAUUGGAAACUGGGGAACUUGAGUGCAGAAGAGGAGAGUGGAAUUCCACGUGUAGCGGUGAAAUGCGUAGAGAUGUGGAGGAACACCAGUGGCGAAGGCGACUCUCUGGUCUGUAACUGACGCUGAGGAGCGAAAGCGUGGGGAGCGAACAGGAUUAGAUACCCUGGUAGUCCACGCCGUAAACGAUGAGUGCUAAGUGUUAGGGGGUUUCCGCCCCUUAGUGCUGCAGCUAACGCAUUAAGCACUCCGCCUGGGGAGUACGGUCGCAAGACUGAAACUCAAAGGAAUUGACGGGGGCCCGCACAAGCGGUGGAGCAUGUGGUUUAAUUCGAAGCAACGCGAAGAACCUUACCAGGUCUUGACAUCCUCUGACAAUCCUAGAGAUAGGACGUCCCCUUCGGGGGCAGAGUGACAGGUGGUGCAUGGUUGUCGUCAGCUCGUGUCGUGAGAUGUUGGGUUAAGUCCCGCAACGAGCGCAACCCUUGAUCUUAGUUGCCAGCAUUCAGUUGGGCACUCUAAGGUGACUGCCGGUGACAAACCGGAGGAAGGUGGGGAUGACGUCAAAUCAUCAUGCCCCUUAUGACCUGUGCUACACACGUGCUUCAAUGGACAGAACAAAGGGCAGCGAAACCGCGAGGUUAAGCCAAUCCCACAAAUCUGUUCUCAGUUCGGAUCGCAGUCUGCAACUCGACUGCGUGAAGCUGGAAUCGCUAGUAAUCGCGGAUCAGCAUGCCGCGGUGAAUACGUUCCCGGGCCUUGUACACACCGCCCGUCGCACCACGAGAGUUUGUAACACCCGAAGUCGGUGAGGUAACCUUUUAGGAGCCAGCCGCCGAAGGUGGGACAGAUGAUUGGGGUGAAGUCGUAACAAGGUAGCCGUAUCGGAAGGUGCGG
rnacentral:rRNA from 1 species